rnacentral:rRNA from 1 species
AUUGAACGCUGGCGGCAGGCCUAACACAUGCAAGUCGAACGAGUGGCGGACGGGUGAGUAAUGUCUGGGAAACUGCCUGAUGGAGGGGGAUAACUACUGGACACGGUAGCUAAUACCGCAUACCCUCGGAUGUGCCCAGAUGGGAUGAGCUAGGAGGUGGGGUAAAGGAUCACCUAGGCGACGGUACCUAGCUGGUCUGAGAGGAUGACCAGCCACACUGGAACUGAGCCACGUGCCCGAUCCCUACGGGGGGCAGCAGUGGGGAAUAUUGCACAAUGGGCGCAAGCCUGAUGCAGCCAUGCCGCGUGUAUGAAGAAGGCCUUCGGGUUGUAAAGUACUUUCAGCGGGGAGGCGUUACCCGCAGAAGAAGCACCGGCUAACUCCGUGCCAGCAGCCGCGGUAAUUC